rnacentral:rRNA from 1 species
UACGUAGGGGGCAAGCGUUGUCCGGAUUUAUUGGGCGUAAAGAGCGUGUAGGCGGCCAUACAGGUCAGCUGUGAAAACUCGAGGCUCAACCUCGAGACGUCGGUUGAAACCGUAUGGCUAGAGUCCGGAAGAGGAGAGUGGAAUUCCCGGUGUAGCGGUGAAAUGCGCAGAUAUCGGGAAGAACACCCAUGGCGAAGGCAGCUCUCUGGGACGGUACUGACGCUGAGGCACGAAGGUCAGGGGAGCAAACGGG